rnacentral:lncRNA from 1 species
UCGAGGUGGUGGAAUAUUUGACGCCCAUUACUAGACAAAGUAUGAGAUGACCAAUUAAUUGUUUAAUUGGAUUUGGGUUCACAAAUAGGAAGACAUCCCUACAGACCGCCUGGGGUACCGGUAAGCGGGUAAAAAUAAAAAAUGAUCGUUUUUUGUUAUCUUAUAUAUGAUAAUAAAAAGUGUAUAGAAAUGGUUUUCAUAGGUUAUUUUUGGACAAAAACUUGUUUACGUAAAUAUGAAAUAGAUGACUUUCUUCAUAAUAAAU